UACGUAGGGGGCAAGCGUUGUCCGGAUUUAUUGGGCGUAAAGCGCUCGCAGGUGGUUCGUUGCGUCGUGCGUGAAAGCCCCCGGCUCAACUGGGGAGGGUCAUUCGAUACUGAUCGACUUGAAGGCAGGAGAGGGAAGCGGAAUUCCCGGUGUAGUGGUGAAAUGCGUAGAUAUCGGGAGGAACACCAGUGGCGAAGGCGGCUUCCUGGCCUGUUCUUGACGCUGAGGCGCGAAAGCUAGGGGAGCAAACGGG
rnacentral:rRNA from 1 species